rnacentral:lncRNA from 1 species
CCUAGAGAUGUCAAACUAGCACUCACAGCUAGUUAGCGGCAGAGCAUGGACGUAAUCUCUGGUCCUCUAGUUCUCCAGGCCUGCUAGCUGGCUUCUUUAGAGUAAUAAAGCCAGCAGUGAAUGCCUACACAGUACUUGUCAUGGGUCAAGAUCAGUAUUGUUUCAAGCACUUCACACAUAUUAACUCAUUAUUCCCACAACACCCUGUGAGGUGGGUCUUCCCAUUUACAGGUGAUGAAAUGGGAGCACUUAGAAAUUAAACAAGUGUGCCUAGCAUCAUACACCUAGCAAAUGGCAGGCUUCGGAUGUGAACCCAGAUUGCAACACCCCAGUGCCUCUUAACCACUAUGCCAAACGCCUGAACUCAGAUGCUGAUUUCCUCCUUUCUUAGUUUCAUUUUCUCACUGACGAAUAGAAAACUUUAAAUAGUUGUUACUGUCUUAAGCAUGCAUAGGAGUUUCACAUGGCUAGAUGCAAUGAACCUGGAGAUUUUCCCAAGAUUGCUUGCCAAAUGUUUCUGGAAACAGCAUGGUCGUUUCCACUUGGAACAACUCACUGUUGGAUGCUUAUAUUUCUUCCGCUGUCAACUUCAGUAACUUGGUCAGAAUGACGCCAGCUCUAGUCACAAAAUGAGCCUUUCAAUCAUAGAGAGACUGAAAGACUGAGACUGCAUUUAUUUCAGAAAGUGAUUGGUGCAGAGGUAUGAUGAUAUAUUUUCAGUGUGUCUAUCAAGAAGGUGGUGUUGAAAUAUCUGUGGCAAUAUUGGCAAGGAGUCAGUCUCUUGCUAUUUCACAAUGGCCUUAAUCCUAGUGAUGGCAAUUUCUUCUUGCAACAAAGAAAGACAGUGACACCAAAGGAGAAAUAUUCAAAGUGGGAUGAAAGGGGUUGACAUUAGAAAAGACUUCAUGGUGAUUGGAAAAAAAUGGAAAAAGAUUUUGAAAGCACUCCAUCACAGGGCACACUACAAUCACAAACUUCAUGCCUUACACAGUUUCCUUUCCUGUCAUACUAACUGUGCUUCUUCAACAUCUCCUGGGAACCAGAAGAAAGAGCAAGGUUUCCAAACACCAAUAGGUGAAUUCAAGCAACCCACAUCUAGAUGGAGCACCACUCAAUAAUGCUCAAAAGCCAGAUGAGAGACAACGUGCAAUUGCCUUAUCCCAAAUGGUUAACAGCUGUGUUCAAAUACUCCACCAAGGAGUUUGGCCAAGCAUGCAGCAAGAAACAGAUGGAAUAGAGUGCCUCAGUCAGUGCAGUAGAAAAGCCAUAGGAUUAAAAGGUCAGAAUUUUGGACACAACUCUGCCAGCAACUAACGUUGGCCUGGGCAAAUUUCUCAGGUUCUCCCUCUGUAGAAUGAAGACAUUGAAUAAGACUAAACAGGUGCGUUCUCUGUCAGGCUAAACUCCAAAGAAACUUAAUUCAAUUAUUUUUUCCCCAAAACCUCAAUUCCCUUGCCUCCCUUUUUCCCCCAUGCCUACCUGGCAAAGGCCCAACCCUCAAUCAUGCCAACUAUUUCUAAUCUCUGAACUACCAACUCCUGGACAACUGAGAACCACAGGAGAAAGUGGCACCACUGAGGUCAGUGCCUCACCAGAUCCCUAGCCAGCAGCCCACCCUCACUCAGCAAAGGCCCUGUCCUCAGUUUAGAGAAGUCAGGGAACUCCCUCAAGUCCCUCCUGGUUUGCUCUGCUGGCUCACUCCCAAUGCAUUAAUUGUUUUCCUCUUCCUGUCUCAGCAGAAAAGGAUCUUGCCCUAGAUGAUGCUUCAUUAUCAUUGCUCUACGAGAUAACUUUCUUCUCUUCUAUUUUAUCGGAAGAUUCCCUCAGCAUGAUAUAUUUAUAUCAUCUAUUUUUAAGAAAAAAAAAAAAAAAAAAAAAAAAAA